rnacentral:snRNA from 1 species
GCUCUCUCGGGAGCUUUC